ensembl:lncRNA
AUGGAUAACCAACUAAUAGGUUGGACCAAGGAUUCCAAUGAUGAUCAGCUGAUUAUGCUGCACCUCACACCCUGUGACCCAUUGGAGAACACAAGCAACCGGGAGGAGGUGAGGACCACGCGGGUGGAGCAGACGAGCACUACCACUACAGAGGGGCAGAUGGAUCAGUUGAGCACUACAGAGGGGCAGAUGGAUCAAUCGAGCACUACAGAGGGGCAGAUGGAUCAGUUGAGCACUACGGAGGGGCAGAUGGAGCAGGCAAGCACUACGGAGGGGCAAGGUAAUUAGGACAGAUUAAAAAAGUUACAGUAUAUAUUUGUAAAGUUUUUAAGUGUUUGACCCAUGGGUUACCUUAACGUUACUUGACUUCCAGUGUUUUUUGUUUUAUUUCCCCCAUAGAGCUUUAUGCAGGUUAGGGCUGCAUAAUAUAUCUUUUCAGCAUCGACAUCGCAAUGUAUGCACGUGAAAUAGUCACAUUGCAAGACACAUGAAAUUAACUCAAACACGUCAUUCUAAAACUUUUUUGCUGCUUGAUACUAAAGUAAAACUCAGUAUUCUCAUUUUCAAUGAAUAAUCUACAAGAAAAGAUCAUCUGAUAUUAUAUAAUUAGAUAGAUGAUAGAUCUAUGUGUACUAGUGCUGUUGGAACCGAUUUCUUGAGUCAUACACACAAAUGUCAGGGUAGGGCUGCAUGAUAUUGAAAAAAAAAAAAUUACAUUUGCAAUAUUUAGUUUUUCUGCGGCAUAUAUUGUGAUAUAAAUUCACAAAAAAAAUCACCAGAUAACUUGAAUAGCUCUUUUUGGAAACAAUUAACCAUUCAAUGAUUAUUGGGUGAUUUUAUAGAUGAGUAAAUAGGCAUUGAAAAUAAUGAACAAAUCACAAGCAUAAAUUAAUACAACAGAACAAAGAUACAAAUGAAAUAAAUAGUGCUUUUAUAUAUUUUCAGGUAAAUCUAACAGGUACAGAAAUUGAAUAAUCAAAUGUAAAAAAUUUUUUUUUUUUUGCAUAUUUUUCACUGUAUAAAUUAAAUAGAAUUAAUCUGUGUGAAAACUACAAAAGUGAUUUUUAUCUUUGUCUUUUGUUGUUUCAUUGACAUUCAUGACACAGAAAGCAGCAGGAAUAUAGGCUGCAGUCACUUAAAGAUGAAUGCGCGCAUUGUGCAGAUCAAAAAUAAUGUUACGCAACCAGUUUUCUUUCUCAAUUGUUUAGUUCACCUUCAAUUCAUCAAUUUUCAACAAUAUAGGAU